rnacentral:lncRNA from 1 species
GAUGUCAUGACACCACAUUUUUUUGAGGAGAGCUUGAGGGUGACUGCAGAAAGUUAUAUCAAUGUGUUACAACUGUUAUGAAGCCCUAGAUAGUCAAGGUUGCCUCUGGGAUGGACUGUGUGUUCCAGCAAGACUCCGCUCCAGAUCAUAAGGCAACGAAAACCUGGCCUUGUGAGCCGGAGCCUGGCUUUUCAGUAACCUGCCCUACCACUGGUCAUCUGACUUGUGGCCUCUUUCCAGCUCAGACUGCAUCCCUGUCAACUAUUGUGUGGGGUGUGGUUGAAGCAAAGGUCAAUAAGACUCAUCAUAACAU